rnacentral:tRNA from 1 species
GGAGGGAUGGCAGAGCGGUAAUGCAGCGGAUUGCUAAUCCGUCACGGGGUUAAACUCGUGCGGGGGUUCGAGUCCCCCUCCCUCCGCCA